GUGAGGAAUAUUGGACAAUGGGCGCAAGCCUGAUCCAGCCAUGCCGCGUGCAGGAAGACGCAUCUAUGGUGUGUAAACUGCUUUUGUACGGGAAGAAACACUCCCUCGUGAGGGAGCUUGACGGUACCGUAAGAAUAAGGAUCGGCUAACUCCGUGCCAGCAGCCGCGGUAAUACGGAGGAUCCAAGCGUUAUCCGGAAUCAUUGGGUUUAAAGGGUCCGUAGGCGGUUUAAUAAGUCAGUGGUGAAAGCCCAUCGCUCAACGAUGGAACGGCCAUUGAUACUGUUAGACUUGAAUUACAAGGAAGUAACUAGAAUAUGUAGUGUAGCGGUGAAAUGCUUAGAUAUUACAUGGAAUACCAAUUGCGAAGGCAGGUUACUACUUGUGGAUUGAUGCUGAUGGACGAAAGCGUGGGGAGCGAACAGGAUUAGAAACCCCAGUAGUCC
rnacentral:rRNA from 1 species